rnacentral:misc_RNA from 1 species
AACCUAGCACACCUGCGGUGUGUACCUGCGGAAGGAUCAUUACUGAGUGUGACCCUCUUAUAGAGGGUGCCUCCCGUCCUUGCAGGCCCCUAGGGCUUUUGACUUUGCUUCGGCGGCACCCCCGCCGGAACAACCCCAAGAAAAUCUCAAUUAAAACCGUUCCGUCCGAGGGCUUGUAAAUAAUCAAAACUUUCAACAAUGGAUCU